rnacentral:lncRNA from 1 species
AAAGGCUUGAUCAAUAAUUCAAUCCUAAACCGAAUUCAACCUAAAAUAUAAAACCAUUGUCAUUAUACCAAGAUACUUACCACAUACCAAAACAAUAAUCAAACAUUAUAGGAUAUACCAAACCAAAAUCAUGGACACCAAAACUAAGCACAUAUAAAACUAAAACUAAACAUAAGUAACAAGCCAUUUUCGCAUGGCCUUAGUUACAUAACCAAAAUCAACAUUUCAAAAAUAUAUUCCAGCUUAUACAUGCCAUAAUUUAAGUUUAGCCAAUAAGAUACCAAAACGGUAGAUAGUGUGAUGAACUUGGCUGACGGUUUCUCGAGCUUGUAGCUUGACUCCAAAAUCUAUAAAACAAAGAAUCAAAUACACAGGUAAGCUAACAUAGCUUAGUAAGUUUAAAACAAAUAGAAAAUUUCAAGAUUUAAUCAAUUCUUUCAAGCUAAGUAGAAUGGUAUAAACAAAACCAAUUUUAACUUCGAAUUUACAAGCGAAAUAAAUAGUAGCAUUUCCGUGCAUAUUUCUACAUAGCCGAAUGCUAUCACAACCACUUUAACAAAUAUGAAACCAACUUCCUAGGUUAUAACAUCACUAUACAAUUAAAUCCAUAUACAUACUUAUUCGCAAAAGCACAAGAAGUCAACUAACAAUAUCAUGUGCAUUUGUAAACAAUGGUAUCUUACUUAAACUGAAUGCUUAUAUAAUCAAAAUUAAUAAAGCAUUAUUUAACCUUCAAGGUCGAAUGAUCAAUAGGUACCUAGUUCACACAUUCAUAAUAUAAUCCCAUGUACAUAUGCUGCUCGUUUGACCGAAUACACAAAAAUGCACAUACACAAAAUUAACACUCAUUCAAUAAUGCACAACAGACCAAAUACACUUACCUUAUUUUUGUUAAUAAUCAAACUAACUCAUACCUGGCCAUUUAACUUGUAUUACACAAUCCGUACACAAUUACCUUUUCCCGAUGAACCAUUCCGAAUUGGAUAGGACACUCGGAUAAUCACAUAAAUCGUACAAUGCUAACGUCUAGACGUGGUCUUACAUGUAGCCACAUAUUGAUGCCACUGUCCCAGACAGGGUCUUACUCGUAAAAACAUAUCAGAAUCACAAAUCGAUGCCAUGGACUUACUCGCACACAUAUAUCAGAAUCCUAUGUCAUGACAUAUGUAUCCUAGCUAUUCCUAAGGUUCAUACGGGGCUUCCGGACGUCGUAUCUCGGUCGAAUCAAACUCGAAAAUGUCAUAGCCAAAUUUAAUAUAUUCGGCCUUAGCAUAAUUUAAUUAUAAGAUUUCAUAACAACAUGUACUUAUAAAAUUAUGCUAUCAAUAAACACGUCUAUUUGCUUUUAAACUUACCUCGGACGUCAUAAAACGAGACGGGGCUGCUAGUCGACAAAUUUUGUUUUUUCCUCGAUCCAAA